rnacentral:rRNA from 1 species
CCUACGGGAGGCAGCAGUAGGGAAUUUUGCGCAAUGGGGGAAACCCUGACGCAGCAACGCCGCGUGAUCGAUGAAGCCCUUCGGGGUGUAAAGAUCUGUCAGUGGGGACGAAACCUGACGGUACCCACAGAGGAAGCACCGGCUAACCCCGUGCCAGCAGCCGCGGUAAUACGGGGGGUGCAAGCGUUGUCCGGAAUCAUUGGGCGUAAGGAGUUCGUGGGUGGCACGGUAAGGCUGGUGUUAAAGGCGGAGGCUCAACCUACGUAGGGCCCUGGAUACUGGAGAGCUUGAGUGCGGUAGAGGUAAAGGGAAUUCCUGGUGUAGCGGUGAAAUGCGUAGAUAUCAGGAGGAACACCGGUGGCGUAGGCGGUUUACUGGGCCGUAAUUGACGCUGAGGAACGAAAGCCGGGGUAGCAAAUGGGAUUAGAUACCCUAGUAGUC